UACCAGCACCCCCGAGUGGUCGGGACGUUUAUUGGGCCUAAAGCAUCCGUAGCCGGUUCUACAAGUCUUCCGUUAAAUCCAACUGCUUAACAGGUGGGCUGCGGAAGAUACUAUAGAGCUAGGAGGCGGGAGAGGCAAGCGGGUACUCGAUGGGUAGGGGUAAAAUCCGUUGAUCCAUUGAAGACCACCAGUGGCGAAGGCGGCUUGCCAGAACGCGCUCGACGGUGAGGGAUGAAAGCUGGG
rnacentral:rRNA from 1 species